GAGCGAGGUGAAAUGAGGGGAAAGAGGGGACGGGGGUAUUCGGGUUCUUGGGGGAACCCCCACCUUCUGCUGCAUGGCCCCCACUCCCAUUUUUGAGGGGUGCACGUGCGGGUGUCCCGCCCCUGGUGUACCCCGUUACCAUUCCGUGCGAAAGUGUCGGACGGAGUGUGGCGCAGUGGGUAAGGAACUGGGCUUGUAACCGAAAGGUCGCAGGUUCAAUUCCCGGGUAGGACUCUGCCGUUGUACCCUUGAGCAAGGUACUUAACCGAAAUUGCUUCAGUAUAUAUCCAGCUGUAUAAAUGGAUACAAUGUAAAAAAAUGCUAUGUAAAAAGUUGUGUAAGUCGCUCUGGAUAAGAGCGUCUGCUAAAUGCCUAUAAUGUAAUGUAAUGUAAUAACGAAAGAAAGAGAGGGCGGCUGGGGAACGAGGGAUGUUAUGGGAAGAGUGGGAGGGAGCGGAAAGAGGAAGCGGGAUGGAGGGAGAAGAGGUGGAGAGUGUCGAACGCGCCCACUUGGGCCGGCUCGAUCCCUCCGGCUGUUCCAUGAGGGCUGCGGAAUUUAAACCGCUGUCUGAUGUCUCAUUCUUCGAUCACCGCCGUUGAGAAACAGGCUCUCCUCCGAGCAUAGGCGCCCCCCCCCCCCAAAACUGCUGUGUGAAACUGUGGACUUGUCUGCCCUGUGCCUGGGAGUCACUGGACUGGCAAUCCUGAGGCCUGUGAACCCAGUCGAGAGAGUUCCCCUAAAAGGACUGAUUCCGCUCAACGCACGCAGUGCUGCUGUCCCCUUUUCACAUGCUGCUGCAGUGGAGUAAAAGGCCCUCAAAUCCAGCAGUUCUCUCCUGCCUGCCAUCCCCCCUGAAAGGCCCCCCAACAGACGCAAGUGCUGCUGGAUGCACGCCCUGACACUGGGAGCUGGCCAGAACGACUGCUGCCUGCAGUCCCCCCCCCCCCCCAAGCCCCCCCGGGCCCGAGUGAACCUCUGGCUACACGAGCCGAAGAGGAUUCUGGGAAUUUGGCGCCUCAACACUUGGCAGCUGAGAGACCUGAGCCCACACCUCGCUACCUCCGGGGUAGUCUGGCUUUUGUCCCCGGCGACGGGGGCAGGAUUUGGUCAGGACCCCGUUGGAAAUGAGCUGCCUUUCGGUGCACAUAAAUACUGCGUUAACGGGGGAAAAGCACUGCAUGUUGUUCUGGGAAGUCCAGGGAUUGUCUUUUCCCUUUCCCAGAGUCCAGAUACCCUGACGCAGACGAAGGAAGAGACUGGCACCAGCGCGUCACAAACAGCGACGCUGAAGAGUGUCUAGGAGAGGCACUCCUGGGAGAGAUACUCUUGAUGACUCUGCCCCAUGGCCUUAUUGUUUUGGGAUUUCAACCAGUGUUUCCAUACAUUUUCUGGUCAGCAGGUCACAGUGGGACUGUUCAAAUCUGACAUGGAUUCUAUGUUUAAAGAUGGAGGAAGGUGAACUGUUAGUUCAGUUGUUUUGUUGCUACCAUUUAAGUGCAUCACAAAUGUCAGAAUGAGUGCUUUUUUAGAGCAAUGUUCUAAUGGUCAUACCACCUUGUACCAUCUUUUUUUUUGUUGUUUUUUUUUUGUGGUGAGCUUUUUGCACGUGUCUUCACUUUUUCUUUUCAAGAGAGGAAAUGUCAGAUAUCUAGUUCUGAGAUUAUCACCUUUGAGAAACCGACAAUAUAAUUUGAUUGGGCAAAUCUGUUUUCUCUCUACCUGCUCUCCGCCCCACAGGCAUCAGAGUAAACAUCCUUGGGCCAGUAGAGUCACUCCAGAGGUCUUCUGACUGGGGUGACCUGGAGAACGUGCCUUUUGGUGAAGGCUGAAGUCAAUCUGUGAUAUUGAUAUUCCAUCUUGAAAAUCUUCAUGUCUGUAUCAGUACCGGUUGUUGAUGACAUUGAACAGUUGAAAUCUACAUUUUUUAUGGAAGCGGUUCCAGUUUCAGGCGGAAGCCAACGUGGUACGAUUGGGUUUUGUUACAUGGAAAAUAUUUUCAGGAGUCAGGAGGAAGAAAGUAGUUUGUGGGGGUGGGGGGGUUGCGGUGGACAUUCUGGGGCAAAUAUCUGCUGUUGUCCUCUGAGGAAUCUGAAGCUUGCAUCAGAGAUGUUGUACAUUUUCAUCCCUGGUUUUUGGAAUAUUAGCUUGUCUUUUCAUAUCUGGACUUUGAUCUUGGUUUCGUAUAGGACUAUUUUGGGAGAAAGCUGUGGUUUGUAACCUGUCCAUGUCUGUAACAUUUGUUUUUUUAAGGUAGUUGAACCUCAUCUUUAGAUUAGAUGUGGCUAUUUGUUGUAACUUAAUACAUUUCUUAAUUUUAA